GACAGAGGGUGCAAACGUUGCUCGGAAUCACUGGGCGUAAAGGGCGUGUAGGCGGGAAGGAAAGUCAGAUGUGAAAUCCCCAGGCUCAACCUGGGAACUGCAUUUGAAACUCCCUUUCUUGAGUACCGGAGAGGAAAGUGGGAUUCCUGGUGUAGAGGUGAAAUGCGCAGAUAUCAGGAGGAACACCAAUGGCGAAGGCAGCACUCUGGGACGUGACUGACGCUGAGACGCGAAAGCGUGGGGAGCAAACAGG
rnacentral:rRNA from 1 species